CUUGCAGGAUCUGACACAUCCUCCCACUUUCCUAAGUCUCAUGACUAGCCAGUGCCUGAAAUAAUGAACUCCUCCAAGGCAAGAAAUCUGUUUUGUAGCUUCUCUGCGUUCACACAGGACAGCCUGGUUUCCUUGAAGGGCAUUUUCCACAUUGUGCAUUAUGAAUGAUCAUCCCGGGAAUCAGGGUGUGAAGCCCUGUAUUCACAUCCAGGGGGCUAUAAAAUCUCUGCAAAAGGAGAAGCCGGACUCAGGCUGGUUUCCAAUGAUCUGUAUACAAGGAAUGCACAGAUAUGGACACAGGGACUGAUGUGUCUGUUGCACCACUAGGAUAGAGCCCAAACCGAAGGAGAAACCAAAUACUUGGAAGAGGGUAGAGAGAAUGAAUGGAGUCCAGGAGCCCUGAUUGUAUCAUAAAUGUCGAGAUAAUUUCAUACCUGAGGAUUAUGUGGUUUGUAAACUUGGCACUUAGAAGAACCAAUAAAAUUACGUUAUAGUUUCAA